ensembl:lincRNA
UUUCAUCUGGCGUAUAUCGAUGCUCAGUAAACACUGCUCCUGGUACCUGUUGGUUUUUAAACACAGGAAAGGCUCGUUUAAACAGCAGAUGGUAAUGCCAGGUUGGUAUUUUCCUGCACAUAGCAUGAAAAUCAACUUGGACGGUGCAAGUCCUUCUGACUUCCUGCAAGUCCGACUUCGUGGCCGUCUGUGAAACAGAUUUAUUGCUGAGCAGCAGGCUGCCCAGACAGGCUGUGUUGACUGGUGUCUGCUGUGUUCUGCACAUUUCACAGAAGUAUGUACUGUAUGAGUCAACAUCCUAAGAGUUACAUUUCACAUGUGCGAUUGGCAGGUAGGCAAAGCUGUGGUCCAAGUUGCUCCCUCCAGAUAAGGGUGGAGCAGAUGCCAAGCUCACACGAUCUCCACUGACUCAGAAUGAGAGGAAAGUAGCAGAUAAAAGAGGGUCUUGGGCUGCCCUGCGAUUGCUGUAUUGGCUGAGUACAGUACAGUACAGUUGGCCCCUCGCCUGCACAUUACUGGCGAGAGAUUUCUAAUUGGACGUUCAAGGUUUGUGAACAUGAGAGAAUAAAAUGGUUUCAGACUGCAGAGCGGUAAGAGGUCUUGUGCUAUUCAUCAUGCUCCCUGUUUAAAGGGGAUUGGAACAAAAAGCAGCUGGUCUCGUCACCACAGCCUCCUGUGUCUGGACCAGCUUCCUGGCUGGCAGUAGUCACGCACGUGGGUGAUGUUUUAUUAUGCUUGGGAUAAUUUAACCCUCAAUUCAUAUGGGAUUACACAUUAAUUUAACAUCACAUCCAUUUACUGUAGCUUUCGGUGAUCGUUCAGCUAAAAUAAACAUUGGCUUCUGUAUGGGAAUUAAAACUGUAGAAAUUGCACCUUGUCUUCCUUUAAGCAGUUUAUUUCCAUUUAUGAAUUUUUAGAUGGUAACUUGCCUCCUGGAAGCAAGCCUGGAGCCAAACGUUCUCUGACACACACAUAUGGGAAUUAAAGCACAUGUGCAGGAGCGAGCGAAUGCCCAGUUGCCCUCCUGGCUGUUGCAGCGGUGCGAAGCUGCGAUCCUGCCAAUGGCCACAUGCCCACUACAGCAGCUCCCUCGAGGUGCACCGCAGACACGUUCCUGGGCCCACUCUCACGUGACCUCACCGCACCGACGCCCGAAGGAUCCUAGUCCACUAUCCAUGACAGGGCUGUCAAGGCCUUACGCACUCAGGGCCGAAGGUGGGGCAUCCAGGCGGCGUGACCUCCCUGCAAAGCUUCACUGCCGUCCAAUGAAAGAGGAGCCCAUGGUGGUCAGGCCCCCUUGGCUGCUGACUCUUCCCUGUGCCAGGGAAUACCGGGCUGUCUUUGAACAAGCAAGUCACUUUGGUGUCUUCAAACAGUCCUCUUACUGAGCGUUUUAUUUUAUAAUGUUUAUUUGUUAACAUGGAAGUGUUGAGCUGUUGAGCACACACAAUUCUGUGUGGAAUCCUGUGCUUUGAAGAGUCUUGUUUCCUUGUAACAUCCCUCACCGUACAGCGCCAUCCCAAUGAUAUUCCAAAGUAAAAAGUUAAAACUAUCUAAAGAACAUUGCCU